rnacentral:tRNA from 1 species
GAGGGUAUAGCUCAAGUAGUAGAGCGCAUGCUUAGCAUGUAGGAGGUCCUGGGUUCAAUUCCCAGAACUUCCU